GACGAACGCUGGCGGCGUGCUUAACACAUGCAAGUCGAGCGAGUGGAUUCCCUUCGGGGAUGAAGCUAGCGGCGGACGGGUGAGUAACACGUGGGCAACCUGCCUUAUAGAGGGGGAUAGCCUUCCGAAAGGAAGAUUAAUACCGCAUAACAUCAGAUUAUCGCAUGGUAGACUGAUCAAAGGAGCAAUCCGCUAUAAGAUGGGCCCGAGUCGCAUUAGCUAGUUGGUGAGGUAACGGCUCACCAAGGCGACGAGGGGUAGCCGACCUGAGAGGGUGCGCGGCCACAUUGGGACUGAGACACGGCACAGACUCCUACGGGAGGCAGCAGUGGGGAAUAUUGCACUAUGGGGGAAACCCUGAUGCAGCAACGCCGCGUGAGUGAUGAAGGCCUACGGGUUGUAAAGCUCUUUGAUCAGGGACGAUAAUGACGGUACCUGAAGAACAAGCCACGGCUAACUACGUGCCAGCAGCCGCCGUAAAAC
rnacentral:rRNA from 1 species